rnacentral:misc_RNA from 1 species
GCAUAAUUUUUUUUAAUGAAUCAAUAUAACUUGAACAUGUUUUGAUUAAAUAACAAUUUUUUUUAUAAUACAUCAUUAAUUAAAUCAUUAAUUAGUUUGGAGGUAAAAAGUAUGAGAUGGAGGAUUUUGUUUUAUUUUUCUUUUUAGAGAACUUAUCCAUGCAAGAACAUAGCAAACAACGUGUUUGGCACAUGGUUUUGAAAAAGUAAAAUAAAAAUGCUUUUCUUGUCAGUGACUUUACAAAAGCCUUCACUAGCAAUUGUUGAGACGUCUUUCACAAACACAUUAUUGGAUAUCCAACACACAAGAUUAAUUAAAACCAAGCAAAUGGAGAAAAUAAACCCUUUUCAUUUGUUGAUUUCCCUGUUUUUUCUUUUCAGAUAAAGGCUAGGUGUUUCAACUCUCAACAAUUAUCACAAUUGUUUAGUAACUUCAUUGAUCAACCCAUUUAAAAUUUCAAAUUCCACUAUCUCUAUCCAUUUUCCAUUUCAAAUUUAAAUCUUAGUUGAUACCAAUUUUUUUC